UACGUAGGGGGCAAGCGUUGUUCGGAAUCACUGGGCGUAAAGCGCACGUAGGCGGAUUUGUAAGUCAGGGGUGAAAUCCCAGGGCUCAACCUCGGAACUGCCUUUGAUACUGCGAAUCUCGAGUCCGGUAGAGGUGGGUGGAAUUCCUAGUGUAGAGGUGAAAUUCGUAGAUAUUAGGAAGAACACCGGUGGCGAAGGCGGCUCACUGGCCCGAUACUGACGCUGAGGUGCGAAAGCGUGGGGAGCAAACAGG
rnacentral:rRNA from 1 species